rnacentral:rRNA from 1 species
UACGUAGGGGGCAAGCGUUAUCCGGAUUUACUGGGUGUAAAGGGAGCGUAGACGGCGAUGCAAGUCUGAAGUGAAAGCCCGGGGCUCAACCCCGGGACUGCUUUGGAAACUGUAUGGCUGGAGUGCUGGAGAGGCAAGCGGAAUUCCUAGUGUAGCGGUGAGAUGCGUAGAUAUUAGGAAGAACACCAGUGGCGAAGGCGGCUUGCUGGACAGUAACUGACGUUGAGGCUCGAAAGCGUGGGGAGCAAACAGG